rnacentral:rRNA from 1 species
AUACGGAGGAUGCGAGCGUUAUCCGGAUUUAUUGGGUUUAAAGGGUGCGCAGGCGGCCAUUUAAGUCAGCGGUUAAAUCGUGGGGCUCAACCCCAUUCUGCCGUUGAUACUGGGUGGCUUGAUUGCGGUCGAGGUUGGCGGAAUUCGUUGUGUAGCGGUGAAAUGCAUAGAUAUGACGAAGAACACCGAUUGCGUAGGCAGCUGACCAGACCGCAAAUGACGCUCAUGCACGAAAGUGCGGGGAUCGAACAGUAUUAGAUACCCUGGUAGUCCGCACAGUAAACGAUGAAUACUUGUUUUCGGCGAUAUAAUGUCGGAGGCAAAGCGAAAGCGAUAAGUAUUCCACCUGGGGAGUACGCCGGCAACGGUGAAACUCAAAUGAAUUGACGGGG